UAUUAUCUUAUCAUCAUCAUUUUUGUUUUUAAAGAAAAGUUAUCUUCAUCAGUUUUAUUUUUAAACCAAAUAAGAAUUAGCACUUGGACGAGGAAACAUAGGAAUUAUAAUUUUUUUUUGAUAUAGACUUAGCAUUUCUCUUUCCUAAAUAGGCUUAUAUUAUAGUGUAUAUGUUUCAUUGAGUAAGUAAGGUUGGGGAUGGUUUUCAAAGUAUGCAAUCUUACUCUCUUGCGAUGUGAUCAAUAGGUCACUAAUUAGGCUAGUUACUCUAUAUACUUUUCUGAGUUGAGCUGUAAUACUCUUAAUGGUAUUUAGUUACGAAUAGUGUUCAGUUUUUAGCCAUCAGAUUGCUUUGAGAUUUGAGCCAUAAGUACAGAACGGAAGUUACGGAGUAAGUGGAUUAAAACCGUUAAUGCUCCCAUCCCCUUUGCAUUUCCAAAAAAAGAAAAAAGGAAAAAAAAAAUGGUAGUGAAUGAGCGAUAGAACUUUAUUGCUGCUAGACGACGAAGACAUUGAAGGAGGUCCUGCCGGCAACCAAAGAAUGUGAGGUAAAAAAGCUUCUUUUAAAUUUUCAUCUCAAUAUCUUGUUCUCCUUUGAUCGAUCUCAAUCAUUUUCUCCUCCGAUCUUUAUUCCAACCCAAGAAAUUGCAAGCUCUCCUAACCUUCAGGUCAUCUCUCUCUCUCUCUUUCUCUCGAUCUGUCUCUUUCUCUACCCGCUCGGAAUCCGGCUGUCGGGCUGCCGUCUCCGCUGCCAUCGCAGCCAUCGUCGUCGUCGACGACCAUUCCAGAUACGUGCUCUCGAUCUUCUGGUGCUAGUACUACCUACUUCAGUUGCAAUUAAUACAUACCCACGUACAUUUAAUAUUACAAUUGGAUAAAUUGCAUGUUUAAUCCUCUAACUGCAAGACAGGUAUUAAUUUCACCUCAUUCUUUAAUUUGUUAUAUUUUCUGAUUCUAAUUUUUAGUACUAUCGUAAUCAACUUCUAUAAUUUUCAAUUUAAUUGGUUAGCUAUUGAUGGUAUUACUAAUAUCAAAAUAAGUGAUGUAACAGUAUUCUAAUUCAUAAUGCGCGAAUAAUUAUGAUGUUAUAUUACUUCUAUAUGACUGAUGUCUCAAUAUUUAGCCAAUUAAAUUAGAUUAUAAGACCGUCUCAUACUUAUUCCAAUAUUUGCAACUUUGAAAAAAUUAAGAGAUUUUUUUAAAAAAAUUGACCUUUUUUUUGACGUGCAGUGUCGGAUGUUUAAUCAGAGAGCCUUCUCCUUCGUUUAUUGUCUUUUGCUUUUUUUCAUUUUUUUUAAUGGUUGAAGUAAUAAUCCCACCUUAUUUUGUGAAAAGUGAUGGUAGAUCUAUAAUCGAAGUUAAACUGUAUUUCUAUAAUAUUUUUAUCCAAAAGCUAUGUUUAAAAAUAAAAAAAAUGAUUCUUUUGUCCUCUAUUACCUAAUGUUUAAUCAAAGAACAUUUACUCAUAACUUUCUCUGUUAAAGUAUUUUACAAUUCAAAUUGAAUUAUAAUUCUGUAAUAUUCAUAUGAAAGCUAAUUUUUAUCUAUUAUUUUAUCAUCAUCAUUUUUGUUUUUAAAGAAAAGUUAUCAUCAUCAUUUUUGUUUUUAAACCAAAUAAGAAUUAGCACUUGGACGAGGAAACAUAGGAAUUAUAAUUUUUUUUGAUAUAGACUUAGCAUUUCUCUUUCCUAGAUAGGCUUAUAUUAUAGUGUAUAUGUUUCAUUGAGUAAGUAAGGAUGGGGAUGGUUUUCAAAGUAUGGAAUCUUACUCUCUUGCGAUUUGAUCAAUAGGUCACUAAUUAGGCUAGUUACUCUAUAUACAUUUCUGAGUUGGGCUGUAAUACUCUUAAUGGUAUUUAGUUACGAAUAGUGUCCAGUUUUUAGCCAUCAGAUUGCUUUGAGAUUUGAGCCAUAAGUACAGAACGGAAGUUAAGGAGUAAGUGGAUGAAAACCGUUAAUGGUCCCAUCCCCUUUGCAUUUCCAAAAAAAGAAAAAAGGAAAAAAAAUAUGGUAGUGAAUGAGCGAUAGAACUUUAUUGCUGCUAGACGACGAAGACAUUGAAGGAGGUCCUGCCGGCAACCAAAGAAUGUGAGGUAAAAAAGCUUCUUUUAAAUUUUCAUCUCAAUAUCUUGUUCUCCUUUGAUCGAUCUCAAUCAUUUUCUCCUCCGAUCUUUAUUCCAACCCAAGAAAUUGCUAGCUCUCCUAACCUUCAAGUCAUCUCUCUCUCUCUUUCUCUCGAUCUGUCUCUUUCUCUAAUUUUAAACUAAUGGAAUGAACUAAAUCCUAAACAAAUUGACACUUAAUUGAAUUGAAUCAUAGAUUUUAUUGUUACUAAAUUUAUGUUGCCAAAACUUUAAUAGAGAGAAUUGAACAUUCGCUUGUAAUUGUUUGUAAAUUUUGUGUUGCUGAACUUUAAUAGUGUCUUUUCUAUUUUUUGAUUCAUUUAGAUUGUUAUUUUAAACUUGAUCUCUUAACUUUAC
rnacentral:lncRNA from 1 species